UCUCCAUUGUUUCCAGUGCACCGUCAAUAUUCACGAGGAAAACAAGUAUGGCAAUUAUAGGAGAAAGAAUAAUACGAGCAAAUACUACAGAGUGAGCCCCAAGGACCUGCAAGGAACCACCUCCUCUUGCCUUGCUCAGCUACCUCACCUAAUGAGGAAAUAACUUUGAAUUUUACGGAGUGUUCCGAGACCUCAUCUCUACGCAUCUGGUGUCAGGCUGUGCCUUAGGGAAUCAACUUGAAUGCUUCUUUCAAAGGGUCAGUGAUGCUAUCAAUUCUAAAGAGUGAUAGCCACUGAAUCUCGCCCUGGUUUAAAUUGUGUCAGGUCAGCUGUUCGGGAAUUUCAAAGUGUGUGCUGCCAACUUAUUGGUUAUUUUUCCCCUU